GAUGAAGAACGCAGCGAAAUGCGAUACGUAAUGUGAAUUGCAGAAUUCAGCGAAUCAUCGAGUCUUUGAACGCACAUUGCGCCCCCUGGUAUUCCGGGGGGCAUGCCUGUCCGAGCGUCAUUGCUGCCCUCAAGCACGGCUUGUGUGUUGGGCCUCCGUCCUCCUCCCGGGGGACGGGCCCGAAAGGCAGCGGCGGCACCGCGUCCGGUCCUCGAGCGUAUGGGGCUUCGUCACCCGCUCUUGUAGGCCCGGCCGGCGCUUGCCGACACAUCAAUCUUUUUUCCAGGUUGACCUCGGAUCAGGUAGGGAUACCCGCUGAACUUAAGCAUAUCAAUAAGCGGAGGA
rnacentral:misc_RNA from 1 species